AAACUAAAAGAUUGUCGUGGAGGACUAUGGAAGCUUUUUCAGUCAGUUCAAAUCUAUUGAACCUUUCCAUCUUGCAGAACUGAAAUUCCAUGGCUGCUGAACUAAUGGCCAGCCCCUGGGAACCGCCAUUCUACCUUCUACAUCUAUACAUUUGACUGCUUUACAUCCCUCAGAAAAUCCCCAAAGAGGAAAAUGCCAUCCAUGUGAUUUGGAGAAAAGGAACUUGGUCAGAUACUGAGACCAGGACCUGAUCUAGUAGCAGAGAAGAGGCUGUGUGGGACCCUGUGUUGCAACACAGGAUAAGCUCUUCCUAUUUUGCAAGAGGAACUGCCUAGGCUGUGUUCCAGUCUCUCAGCCUCGAGCUCACACUGAGUCAUGUGACACUCCUUUGUGAGCAUAGCAGUGGACGGCACCUUGCUGUUGAAAUCCAAGGAGUGCUGGCAGCUGCCGAACAGGAAAACCAACAGAGAUCACACCUCCCAGAAGAUGGCUGUUUCAAAGUGAGUUCUGGGUUUCCAUGGACUCCUCGAGGGAAAUUUCCAGGGAUAUUUUCUACUUGAUUACCUUAUUCAUAUUUACAUCUCAAGAGCUUUGCCAAAUACAUCAUCUAAACAGAAGAGCAAUAAGAAGUCAUGCAGAAGACUAUUGGACUAAAACUUAGGACCUGAGUUCUGGUACAAACCAGCAGGAAAACCAUGGAGGGUGAAUUUGAAGGAGGGGAUCUGUGUCUCAGCCUUUGCACAACCACCUCACCCCAUAUGUCUGCACUAAGGAGAUGACACAUCAAGAAACAUGUCCCGGUCAAUCCCAAAACUUUCCGAUGGAGUAGUGAAAAUGAGUGAAUACGACAUAUAUGAAGGUACCAGCUACUGACUUCCUCCUGCAAGAAAGCCAAGGUGCCACAAAGACGGAGCUGUGCAUGUGCGGACAACACCUCUUCAUGGCCUGCUGUCGGUCAUGGUUAUACUGGUGUGGUUUGAGGGCAGGGGCUGAGAUGGGACCUCCAGAGCUGCCCAGCAAUCCUGUUCUGUGGCUCUUCGCCACAGCCAGGGACAGUGGUAAGGCGGCCCUUGUGGCUCCACCUCCUGGAAUGCAUCCCUCCCACCACCCUGCAGAGAUCCGGUCACCUGAGCUUGUGCUCAUCUUCUGAAGGUCCCAGAGUACAUUCCAUGAAGUCGCUGCCAAGUCUUGCUCGUCAUGGCCUUUCCUACGAUGUUUUGCAUGUGUGUACCCGCAGAUGUUUUUUAACUGACUUGAGGACAAAGGGAUGUCAUUUAAGGAAUUAUAUUUUCUGUUUACCAUCUCACCAACCCCAGACUCCCUGAGACCAUCCAUUCUUUUUCUGGCCUUUCUCUGCCCUUUCUCCGAGGAGAGCCAUCAGCUUCCAACUUUCUCACUUCUGGUUUCCAUUUGGGUUCCACACUCAGGAGACUAAUGGUGGCAGGACAGAGAGGUGGAGAAUAGCUUCCCGUGCUUAGCCAGCCUGCAAUGUUUGUGUCCUUCUAAGACUGUGAUUUCUCUAGGGUCACUCCUCUUCUAAGGCUCUACCUCUCAACUGGGGUCCCAUCACAUCAUUUUCUCCCUCUGUCUUUCCUGGCCUGGGGCCUCAGCAUCCUUUGUUGAUUCUCCUGCCCUGCUCACACUAUGGUAAGUAGUCUCUUCAUUAGGAUCUCUCCAGAAUCCCAGUAAAAUGUGUAGUUUCUUUGCCAGGAACUUGACUGACACAUGAGUCUUUGGUUUAGUUGGGGAUGAGACUAGAAUAACUUUAUAAGUUACCAUCCUACCCAGGACACUUAUGGGAGGGAGAUGGGGCACUGCUAAUCAUUAUCAUUAUCAUCACUGCUAAUAACCACCACCACAGGCAUAGAGUAGAACUGUUUCAGGCUACCUGGAAUGGAUGGACGUCCUAGGAAAGUGAGACAAAGAAGCAGAUCACUGUUAUAACGGAAAGAUAAAACCUUUCUAAAAGAGAUAGUAUUUCAGGAUAGCGUAAGAUAAAUGCCAAAGGGUGGAAUAGACUUUCAGUGCUGUAGCCGUGCCAAGUAAAGCGAGAUCAUUUCUCCUCAGGGAAGACUAUUGAGAUCAGCACGAUGCUCGGUGCUCCUUCUCCAAGUAAAUGAAGUCACGCAAUCCAUGUGUGCUUGGCCCGUUUUGUAGAUUUUCUCCAAGAAAUCUCAUUCCCAGUUUAGACCCACCUCCACCCUCACACACCCCUAGCAUAAUUCUCCCUGUGUCUUUCUA